UUUAAUUCAAACCAUAGAUCAAAAUUGAUCAAACGCCUGAGAUUAAUCCAACAAGUCUUUUCUCUUAUACCCAAAAAGGGUAAACCCUAAUUUCACACCAAGAGAACAGCCGCCCCUCUCCAUAAUUUUCUCUCUAUCUCCUUCUCUCUCUAAUCAAACACAAAGCCAUCAUCGCCGUCGAUGGACUAUCGCUGCUGCCGCCGGAUUGCUCCCCUUCUCCGGCAUCGUCCUUUCGCCGAUAUCGACUAGCCUAGCCACCAGCCGCCGCUGCACAGAAACCAAACCAGACCAAUGGUCACACUGCCGCCGCCGCUCCAGCCGGCGAUCUUUUCGAAUCAAAUAGCCGGUGAACCCUCCGUCGCCGUCAACACCCACUUCUCUCCAAAGAUCUUCCAUUUCCAGCCGCCGAAACCACCGUCAGGCCGCCGCCUCACCAUCUCCGACCAGUCCUCGUCCGGCCAAGCACCGCCGGUGAAACACCAGCAACGAACCUCAAUAACUACGACCGCCCCAAAUUUCACUCUAUUAAUCGGAAAAUCGAAAGAGAUUCGCAGAAUCCAUUAUUUUGGGGUUUGUUUUCUUUGUUAAUUUUUCGUCAAUUCAUUAUUCUCAUGCGCUUCUACGCCUCUUCUUUUUAAAUUUGCAAUUCGUUGGAUUUGAUGUUAAUUGUCAUUCCUCUAUUCUAAUUUCAUGUUUGUUUAUAUCCGUAAUUCGACGUGUAAAAGCUAUGUUUGUAUGAUUUUGGUUUGACCCUAAAUUAUGACUUGUGAUUCAUGUACUGUUACUGUGAUAGCGUUUAGGUCAACUUGAAAUCUUGAUUUUCAUGUAUAGGUAAUUUCUUUUCUUUUAUUUACCUUAGUCGAGCUGUUCAUAAUUAUUGGGAUAACAUUUGAUCUGAUUGUGUGUAAAUUAAGGCAACUCAAAUUGAGAUAUUCUGUUGCUCUUUCACCGCCUGUCAUAUAUGGUAAAUGACCAAAUUUGAUCAUUAUCUGAAUGUUCACUUUUAAAUUCAAAAUAAAAUAUGUAAUCAGCAUGUUUAUAUGGUAAAUAUUAAAGCUCAUGCAUUUUAUUUAUUUUAAAACAUUCUUUUACUGAUCUAAUUACGACAAAUUUACUUCUAGUGAUUUUGUCUAGUUAAUUAAGGAAAAUAAUAUUGUUGAUGUUUUUUUAAAUAUUGAUUUUCCUUUUAUUCUUUGAACUGAUUUAUAUGUGAUUGAUUCAUCUAUUCAUUUAAGAGAAAUUUUCUCUUAAUUGAUUGAGAUGAAUAUUAUUUUGCUAUUUUUAUCUUCAUAUAAUUUUACAAUAUAAUUCCUCAUUCUUUGAGAACAUCUGUAACGCCCCGAAAAUGGGUCUCGAAAUAUCACACGGUGCUUAGGACCACAAGUGAUCCCAAGCUAAUCCUUCUAAUGGCAUACUAUUAAGCAAUUGAUUAAAUAUAUAUAAAUGACUGAGUUUAUUGUGCGGAAACAUAGAAAAAAGAUGAAUUUGUAAAACGCAAUACUGUUAUAACUUUUACAUUCUAAUAAAGACUGAAAAGAGAGAGACUGAAAUUACAAGACUAACUCUAACUAACAUUUAUGAAGCCUCUACUAUACUGACUAUAAAUAGUUGGGAAGCUAACCCAACUAUCGCUAAUCAAUACAUAUGAAUAAGAAAAUAAACAACAUAAAUAAAUCUAACUGAAGUCCUUGAAGUAUGACUCUUCAUCUUGCUGUCUAGAAUCUGCAACUGUCUGAGUCUGAAUGUGCAUACUACAUCUUGUACCUACAUUAUGAGACAAUGUAUUACAUAGACAUAUAUGUGGAUAAGUACUUUGAGGAUGUACUGAGCAUAUGGGGUGAAAUGCAAUAAGUAAAAUAAUAUCUCAUAUUCAUUAUUUAUAAAAUCAUGCAUGCUAAAUGUAAAUGACUCGCAUUGCUUGAGAAAUCUGAAUUCUGAAAGUCAAAAUCAUGAAUAAUAAAGCAUGUAGUAUAAUUCUCGUGAUCCAUUACACUUAGUUCUAAAAUCUAUAUUCUGUUCUUAUUCUUGAAUCAUAUAGGCUAAAUGAAGUCUAAAUUUUCUAUUGCAUAAUAAACACUUUAUCUCAAGACUUUAAAUCAGUAAGCUGUUUUAAGAGUAGGGACAUCUAUUUUUUGGGGAGGUUUUUCUAAUCGACAUAAACUAUGUGAGCACCCAUGGAGUCCAUUGUCUUGUCCUCCUAAGGAAGAAACCUCAGGUUGGGGAGCGGUGUCAUACUUUUGCCAACCUGAGUUAAAUGAUCACAUCUGAGUUAUCCACGUAGAAGUGAGAAUAAUUUGAUAAUCUGUACCUACGUUGGCUAUGUAGUUCUGUGGAAGUGGGAUGCGCUAAACCCACACUCCCAGCUUGAUGCUAAAUACUACUUCCUUUAGAUCUGUAUGCUCAAAAGCUGAAGAAAAUCCACUUUAAAAGAAAUCUCAUGGUGUAUAAUGAAAACCAACUACAAGUCUGUAAUCUGAAUCUGUAAAGUGGAUUUCUUUAUCUAUUCUAGGACCAAAAAGUCAAAUCUUUCUCAACAAAUUUGAAAAUAUUCUAAUCAUGGGGUGCUUAUAGCACUAACAAUCUUGAAACAACAAUUUUUAAUCAAGGUCUAAUGACCCAAACAUCAAUCUCAUGUUAAAUCAUCUCAAAAUCUAUCUUGGUAAAAUAAACAUUCGUAAAUCAUCUAAAUAUCUGAAAAUUUCAGCAAUAAGCAUGUAAACAGGUGCAAAAUCAUGUAAUUCAACUUCUAAAUCAAUGGGAACCUUAUAAACUUGUAAAUAACAACAAUGGGCAUAAAUCCCAACUUAAAUCUCAUGAAAAAUCAUGUAAAUUGUAGUAAAUUAAUAAUUAAAAUAGGUUUUGGGUACAAGAACGAAAGAAUUGUUCUUGUUCAAACCCCACAUACCUUGAUGAUGAUAAAAUUGUGAAAAGAUUGGACCUUUAAGCUUGAUUGAAAGAAUUCUUGUAGAGAACUUUGAAUUUGGAGCUUAACUUCUUGAUUGUUGAGAGGUGACACUUGGAUUCUAUUCUUGGGAAGAGGGGAAGGGUUUUGGAUCGUAACUUGACUGAUUUGGGGCUUAGGGAUUGUAAAUAAUGUGUUGAAAAGCCCUUAUAACGACCCGGAGUGAUUAGGGAUGGUUUAGGGGUGUGAAAUAACUUCAAUAAGUCAAAACGAAGUGUUUUUGGAACUUGGAAAUGACUUAGGCGGCGUCCAAUCAAACUUAGGCCAUUGACAAGGAUGCUAGUAAACAUGUUUACAAUAAUUAUUCGGUGUUUGCUUGCUAUAUUUGUGUUAUAUUAUAUUCUCAUUGUACUGCUAUUACGUAUUGUCUUACAAGUAUAAAUAGACAGUUUUGGGGAUUUGAAGAAUCGUCGGGUUAUCGAGGAAAGGGCUGUUCAUCCUUUUUUCUUUACUUAUUUUAAUUCAUUGUGUUGUAAUAACUUUUGUAAAUCCCGAUAUAAUAAAUUGAGGACUGCUUGGAUGGGGUUUUAUGUGGUACAUAAAUUACCUAGGCAAACAAACUUAGGAUUCAUUAAUUAAUUGGUUGUUUAGGCAAAUCUAAUUUUGGACUUAUUUCAAUCACCUAGAAAUCUGCUUGUAGGAGUUUAUUUAACUUUUGCCUGGUCAAAUUACAUUUGAAUAUGUCAACUUAGCUUGCAACAUAUUUAUUUACCUUGGCAUGUUUACAAAGUUUUGACAUAUUACAAGUAACAUUUAAGCAUUUUUAAUCACAUUUUCACCAAUUAUAUGGUAAUUUUCAGCAUUCAAAUAACAUUUUUUUCAGCACAUUAACUAAUUUUUCUACUUUGUUUAUGCAAAUAUUUUUAAAACACAACAUUAAUUGUUAAUAUUUUGUCAAAAAUGAUGCUUAGUUUUCUUUUUUAACUUGAAUUGGACAAUGUCUUUCUUAAAUUAUUACUCACAUGAAUACUAUAUCCUAGCCUAUAGUUGGUAAAAAAGCAAAAAAGAAUUAAGAGGUCUAAUUCCGAUGUUUUAAUAUAAGUUAGUGAAAAAGUAAAAAGGAAUUAAGAGGUCUAAUUUUUAUGUUUUAACUUAACCCGUUGCAUUCUCGAAAGUAUCACUCACCAACCUUUUUUUUAAAAUAAAGAAUGUGUAUAUCUAUACCAAUGUAGAUAUUUUUGUCUUUAUAUUUCAAAAGUCAAUUUUUCACUUGGCUUUAAAAAUUAUAUUAUUAUUAUUUUUUACUUAAGACCGAUCUCCAAUCAAAAUUGUUGCUAAGGUAAAAAGGCGUGAUUGACGAUAUCGUGAUAUCUUUCCUAUAAAAGCGACAAAUAUUUUUCUCGAAAAACUUUAUUCAAUUUGAAAAUGAUUUACUUUAUUAACUCAAGUAAUAUAAUGUUUUAGGAUAGUUUAUGAUUCUUAAUAUAAAUAUUUUGUUAUAAAUUGUUUUCCUUCUUUCUCCUCUCUUCUGUACUUCACAUUAUUUGUUAUCCACUUUAUCACCACCCAGUUAAUAAUUAGAAACGAUAAAAUAACAUAUGUUUGCUUAUUUAUUACUUUAUCACUUAGUUAUCAUUUAAGUUAAUAAAACAUGAGACCUUUUGAUCACGUAGAAUCCCCACGUAAAAUACGAAUUUGGCCAAAAACCACCUUUGGACCUCGAAAGGUGCCUAGCACCUUCUUUUCAAGGUAAUUUGAACCAUUACCCGAAUUUCUGGUGGACUAAGAUAAAACAACAAAAUAGGUUCGUAGCAGCCUAGACUGGUGCCUAACGCACCUUAAUUCGUUAGGUGACGACUCUUCACACUCUACCUUUAAACAAUUCCAAAAAAGAGGGGUCAUGUCGAAACCCGCUUUUCGAGAGGAAAAUGAAGCAUGACAGAAUGGCGACUCCGCUGGGGAUCUUAGGUUCUAACCAUUACGAGUUUGUGUUUUAUGUGGGAUUCUUUCACUUUGUUUUUUUUUUUUUGCAUAAUUUCUUUUUCUCGUUCCCUUUUGACAUUGUUACAUGUUAAUCCCCCCUCCUUUCCCUUUUAUGUGUUAUUUAUGUUUACCUCGUCUAUUCUUUCUCCACUUUUUCUUUUAGUGGUUAUAUGUUUUGACAUGUUUUUAUUGCUAAAGCAUGCUAUUGUAUUUUGCUAUGUGCUAUGUGUUACUGUUUUAUAUAACUGGCAUUUUGCUCAUACUUUCCUCCACUUGGAAACCUCUUUUGUUUUCUUUUAACGAACGGUUGCGUGGUAGCAUGGACGUUCUUUCUUAAAACACCUUUCAGGAAAUGCCUUGUGGAUCGAUCGAUCAGCGGUGCGUCGACAGUCACAAGCUCUCCCACUCUCGAGUUUCCCACUCGAGGGAACCAUGUCAUAAACCCAAUCUUGUCCGUUAGGCCUUGGCUACAUGUUUCUUUUACUAAGGAAUAUGCAUCCCAUUCAACGUAGGAUUCCUUGGCAUCCUUGAUGCGUUGAAUGUUAGUCUCAUUCAAAGUCCAAAGAGGUUCACGGCCUCAAAGGACUCACAAUUAUUUGCUGUGUGUUGCAUUUCUAUGUAUAUAUUAACAUCUUGCCUAUCAUGUUGUUUCCGUUCUUGCCUUAGUCACUCCUUACAUUUAGUGUUCCUCACUUUAGACCUCGUUACUCUUAAAUUUCUUGUCAUGUUAGGUCCCUAGGAUACACUCUUAGGGCCUAUUCAAAACUUUCCUUUAAUCUAUCCUCCUGACUCAUCCAUCCGUUAGUAUGUUAAUUCCCCCUAGGUCCAACUCUUGCUUUGAUAAAGAGUUUCAGUCUCAUUCGCAAUCUUUAGUUCAACUUACCAUUUUAGGAUAUCCUCUUCCUAAUGCUUCUAACGUUUACAUACUAUUGUCCUACCACGAUUCUCGGACAUUAAUAUUGUUAUAUUCAUGGCGUACUCUAGAUUUCACAGCCUCUUAGUUACAUAAAGCUCUCACAACUUCUAUUCACUCUAAAUGAGCAUAACUCACUAUUUUCAAAUAAGUAGAAUAUUCAUUCUAGACUCCCAUGCGUACUCUUUGUUUCUAAUCAUUAGUCGUUUCUUCUGAGGUUGACUAAAGUUUAACAUAACAAAUGGCUAGUCAAGCAAUGUUUAUCGAUCUUGUCAAUAGCGAUAAUGAGCAUGAGAAUUUGGGAUUGUGUCAAAACAAAGUUAUUUUGAUCAUCAAAAGAAUAGAAGGGAAAAUUGAGAUAAUUAGGGGAAUAAUGAUUGAUCUUCGAGGUUCAGCUAAUAGGUGGUGCCCUAACGCACCUUAAUUUGUUAGGUGGCAACUCUUCACACUCUACCUUUAAGAAAUCCCAAAAAAGAGUGGUCACGUCGAAUCCCGCUUUCCGUGAGGAAAAUGGGGUGCGAAAAUAGGCUAUAACCUUACCUCUCUGCAUCAAAACACAAUCCAAAUCAAUUCUAGAAGCAUCACAAUCGACAACAAACCCAUCUAUACCAUCAGGUAAUGCUAAAAUUAGGCUGAAGUGAGUCAAGUCUUCAACUCAUGGAAACUCUUUUCACAAGAGUCAGACCACUAAAACUUAACUUUAUUUUGAGUUAAUCUAGACAUAGGGGACAUAGUAGAAGAAAAACCCUUAUCAAAACGUCUGUAAUAGCCAGCUGAAACAAAGAAACUUCUCAUGUAUGAUAGAGAAAUAGGUCUAGGCCAGUUUCUUACUGCUUCUAUAUUUUGGGGAUCAACUCUAAUCUCCUCACUGGAAAUAAUAUGACUGAGGAAAGCUAUUAAUCUUAUCCAAAAUUCACAUUUAAUAAACUUGACAAACAACUGAUGAUCUCUAAGAGUUUGCAACACAAUUCUAAGGUGAUCUGCAUGAUCAUUCUCACUACGAGAAUAGACAAGAAUAUCAUCUAUAAAGACUAUGACAAAAAUGUCCAAAUACUGUUUGAACACUCUGUUCAUCAAGUCCAUGAAGGUUACGGGGGCAUUUACUAGUCCGAAGGACAUGACUAGAAACUCAAAAUGACCAUAACUGGUUCUGAAAGCUUUCUUUAGAAUAUCACAUUCCCUUACUCUGUGUUAAUGAUAGCCGGAUCUAAGGUCUAUCUUUGAAAAGUAACUUGCACCUUGGAAUUGGUCGAAUAAGUCAUCAAUUCUAGGAAGAGGAUAUUUGUUUUUGACUGUGACUUUAUUCAGUUGAUGAUAGUCAAUGCAUAUUUGCAAAGAACCAUAUUUAUUUUUCAUGAAUAGGACAGGAGCGCCGCAUGGAGAAACAUUGACCUUAUGAAACCUUUAUUUAAGAGGUCUUUAAGCUGUUUUUUUAACUCUUUAAGUUCGGUUGGAGCCAUAUGAUAUGGAGAAAUAGAGAUAGGCUGAGCAUCUGGGAGAAGCUCAAUACCGAAUUUUAUUUACCUAUCAGGAGGUACCCCUGGAAAAUCUUAGGGAAAGACAUCAGGAAACUCAUUGACUACACGAACUGAUUGAACUGUUGGGGUUUCAGACUUAGUCUCUUUGACUCGAACUAGAUGAUAGAUGCACCCUUUUGAGAUCAACUUUCUGUCUUUAAGAUAGGAUAUGAAAUGACUCUUGGGAGACACUGAAUUACUUUUCCACUCAAAUAUUGGAUCAUCUAGAAACUGAAACUUCACCACUCGGGUGCGACAAUCUAUGGUUCACAACAAGAAUAGAGCCAAUCCAUACCAAAAAUAAGGUCAAAUUUGACCAUAUCUAACUCUAUUAAAUCUUCUAACAUAAUUUUAUAAAGGAAAGUGAUAGAACACUUUCUAUAGAUCUGUUUGGAAACAACUGACUCACCCACUGGGGUAGAAACUAAGAAAGGCUCAGGGAUCUUUUCAGGAACAAUUUUAAAAUUUAAUGCAACUAAUGGGGUCACAUAAGAGAAAUUUGACCUAGGGUAUAAAACACAUAUAUAUCAAGAUGAAAGACACGAAGCAUACCAGUAACAACAUGUGGUGAAUCUAGCUGCUCCUGAUGGGAUGGUAAAGCAUAAAACCAAUUCUGGCGCUGACCGCUACUGGUAUUAGAUGAUGCUCUUUGAGGAGGGACUGGACGACCUAAAGAAGCUGGUGCACUAGUAGCCUGAGUCUGGGGAUGAACAUCCCUGUUUCCCUGCCUAGCAUGAGGACACACUUUGAUUUUUGCCUCAACUUAUCACAACCAUAACAACCUUUCUGUCCCAACAAGCACUCACCAGGAUAAUUCUUACCACACUUAGCAUAUGGGGGAUAACUGGAUAUUCCACUAACGCUAUUCUGAGAUCUGGACAUAAAAGUUUUACCCCACUACUUCUGUCUAGCUUUAGGAGCAGGAGCGCUAGCUGAAGAUGACGCUGACAUAGAUGAACGAUUCUAAAACUGUGAACGAUUUUCCCCUCCAUACUUUGUCUAGCCAUAUGCAAAUUUUUUGAUUCUAGCCUUCUUAUUUUCUCUCUCUCUCCCCUUCAACUUUUCUGCUUUAAUCUGCUGGGCAUGAAUUAUCAACCUAGCAAGAUCCAUGUCCCCAAUUAUCAUGGCAGUCCUACAUUUCCUGACUACUAAACCAGAUACUCUAGUAACAAACUUACUCAUACUUGCCCUAGGGUUAGCCAUCGUAUCAGUGGCAUACUUAGACAACUGGUUGAACUUAAGGUUGUACUCCUUUACUAUCAUCGAGCCCUACCUCAAGUUCAUAAACUCAUCUAUCUUAGCUUCUCCCAUUUCACGCAAAAAGAACCUAUCUAAAAAUUCAUCCUGAAAUACCUGCCAACUCAUAGGAGUUGCAUUUUCACCUCUACCAUUCUUCCACAUAACCACCCAAUCAUACGCUACAUCCUUCAAUCUAUAUGAUGUGAACUCUACAAUUUCCUUUUUAGAAACAUACAUAAUCUGGGUGAUCUUCUUUACCUCAUCUAAAUAAAGUUGUGGGUCCUCACCUAUUUUUGACCCAAACAACUUUGGCAGAUUAUUCUCAUGAAGUCACGAAUUCUGGCUGUUGCUAACUCCCCAUUCUGCUGAAGUGGGACUGCCGCCUAAUGGUUGCCCUAAACAUUGGCAGUCACAGCCUGGGCCAAUGCUUGAAAAGCAUCUCGAAAUUCAGCAUGAGAUAUAUUCUCAUUUAGAGGGUCAGCCGGCUGGGGUGGCUGGUUAUCAUUUUUUGGGGUGUUAGCUUGACGAUGAAGCAUAUUCAACUAUCACGUAAGAGCAUGAGUUAAAAGCAGACUGAGAUACUGUAAGUGUUGAUCAUAAAAGAAAUAGAUGAUUUCCUAAGAACGUCUCGUCGCCUCUUGCUCAUAAAUGUGGCGCACUUCACACCUAUGAUCAAGACUCUAAGUAACACAGCUUGUCUGACUCGCUAGGACUCUCUAAACCUUAGGCUCUGAUAUCAAGUUUGUAAUACCUCAAAAAUGGGUCCCAAGAUGUCACACGAUGCUCAAGACUACGAGUAGCCUUAAGUUAACCAUGUCUGCCUUCCACUGGGUCUGAAUCUCAUAAUAAGGAAAUAUAGAUAUAAAAUUAAAACUAAAAUAUGAAAAACUGUCUGAGCUAACCGAGUAUGUCUAGAUAUAAUCUCUGAAAAUACUACACUCAAGAUUCUGAUAAAUCAAUACUAAAAAUCUAAAUCAUAUCUAGCAGUCUAACAAGCCUCUACUACUAAUAACUAGAGAGUCGCUGGGACAAGCCCCUAGCUGACUCGAACUGUCUGAAAAUACUGAAUUAUCUAUACUAAUAAACUUAAAAUUGAAAGACUAAGUCCUCAAACUAUGAGGACUCACCAACUGUCGGGAUGUAGAUUGUAACGCCCCAAAAAUGGGUCCUGAGACGUCACACGGUGGAUAGGGCCAAAAGCGAUCCCAAGCUAACCCUUCUACUAGCAUAACUUAUAAGCAACUGAAUAAAAUACAUAAAUCUGAACAAAAUCAGUGGAAACAUAAAUCUUCUCUGAACUUGAUCAAUACAAAUCUAUACUAAAAUGAUUCAUCUCUGAUUUUACAAAACAAACUGGAGUUCAAUUACAUCAACUUCUACUGACUGUCUAUGAAGCCUCUACUAGUAUUGACUAUAGGUAGCCGGGUCAUGACUCCCAACUAUCCCAACUCAAUACGACUGAAUAAAGAAAAAAUAAAAUAUUUCUCAAACUGUAUAACUGACUCGAGCCCUUGAAUCAAAAGGACUCAUCACCUGCUAACUGAAAGCUGCAAACUGGCUGAAUAUGGUAUGUGUGCUAUAACUUGUACCUGCAUUAUGAGACAAUGUAGCACAUAGACAUAUAUGUGGAUCAGUACUUUGAGGAUGUACUGAUUAUAUGGGGGGUGCAAUGCAUAAAUAAAACAUUAUCUCAUCAUCAUAAUUUAUAAAACAAUGCAUGCUAAAUGUAAAUGACUCACAUAAGCUGGAAUAUCUGCAAUACUGAAAUAUAAUAAUCAUGAGAAGCAAAUCAUAUUUUUUAAAUCUAGUUAGUCAUAACAUUCAGUUCUAAAAGUUGUACUUAUACUUUUUAUUUAAAUCAUGAUGUCUAAGUGUGUAACACCCCAAUUUUCUGAACCGGAAUGCUACACGAUGCUCAUGACCCCAAAGGACCACAAGUUAACCCAUGACUGAUAUCUGUACCUGUAACUUCAUAAUAUUAAUAUAAAAUGUGGAAACAUGAACAAAGAGGGCAUAAGGUUCAAUCUUGAAUAAUAAGAUAUCUGAAAUAAGGUGGUAUCACAAUAGCAAAACAAAACUGAAAAUACUAGUCUAAAUCUGAAAACUCUAUAAUCAUCUGAAAGCCUCUAAACUGUCUGAAUAAGGAGUUGAAGGAACAUGUCUCCAACUAACUCCCUAAACUGAAAAUAAAUUGAAAUAUUGGAAUAAUAAAUGUAACGAUUAUGUCCUUGAAAGAUAAGGACUCACUGCUUACUGAACUACUACUGCUGAUCUAGAAUCUGCACCUAAGAACCUAUGGUGUAACAUAAAAAGAAAGCACCAUAGUGCAAAUGCGUCAGUACAACUAAAGUACUAAGUAUACGUGGGGGUAGGCUAAAUGAAUGGGGUUUAUAUGCAUGAACAUGCUGACUAAUAUGAACCUAAGAAUACAUACAUACAUACAUACAUAACUUCUACAGAACUCGUGGAGAUACUGACUACUUGAGUUUGAACUUUGACAACAUGAGUUUCGUAAUACUGAGAUACUGAAUGACUGAUGAUAUAGAUGACUGUAUCUAACAGUCCUAAUUUAGGGGAAAACUAUCUGAGUUCCAAACUAUAUUUGAACAUCUAAGUCUGAGAUCAGUCCUAGCUGACGAGUGAUCUCUGAAACUGAUAGUGAGAAUACUCGAUUGAAUCUGAGAUUGAGAUCAAGCCUGUCUGUCGAGUGACCUCUAGAUAUAAUAAUAAGCAUUUGAAUAUGGGACCAAGCCUAUCUGACGGGAAGGUCCAGGAAUCAUUGGAACUAUCUGAGUUCCUUACUGAGAUUGAUGACUGUAUCUGACAGUCCUGAUUUCUAAUUUCUACUCUAAAGACUGAUACUAAAAUUGUAACUGUACUGUGACUAUGGGAGGUAGUAACCUAACUGACAUGCCCCGCUACUGUACUAGUUGGGUCCAAUCUUUGCCCUGAUUGGAAGGGUGUUAAUACCAUGCCACGGGUAGAGACCUCUGCUAUGGUCAAGCCUCUCUAACAGGUGACCCUGAAUAGGAAAUCAAGCCUAAGGCAAUAUAAUAGUCAAGUUUAGCCUUAAUCUGACGGGUGACUCCUAUCCUUUGCUGGCUAUGAAGUUCUAGAGUACAGGGAUUGCUGCUAACGGUUCUACCUCUCUAAUGGGGAAACCUCCAUCCCCAUACUCGCUCGGUGCUAGUUCUAACUCCCAACUGAAAGACACUGAACAAAUUAACUGAGCUGAGCUGACUAACUGAACUGAAUUGAUUUUGAGUUUACUGAGUUCCUUGGACUGAUGGAACCCUACUAACAUCUGAUAUCUAACUAAGUCAUGAGAUUGCAGAUCUUACUGAGUACUGAGUUUUCAUGAGAUUUCUUAGUCUUUCCUGAGUCACAUGACUAACUGCAAUCUAUGGAACAUAGCUUGACUAAGGAUGUCUUGAAACAUGACACUAGCUCUAGGCACACAACUAUAGUUUUCGGGUACAAGUAACCCCAGGACUCGAUGGAAGGAAACUGACACACAUGAGUGACUUGAUCAUAAAAGUAGAGUCCAUAAUUCACAAUAUCAUAAGUAAGGAUUUCAUAAUAAGAAUGAUUCUCAACAAACUAUCACAUGAUCGGAAAUGCACACAACAUGUAUAUACUUGCACGACUUCAAUAUCAUGGUCAUUCCAUAUCACAACAAUAUCAUGAGCAUCUCAUACAAUAUCUUCAAUUCAAGAAAAUAGCAUGGGGAUCACAUUGAACAUAAACUUAGAACAUGGAACAGUCAUUUAGGGCUUAUUAUGUCAUAAAAAGCAUGAUUUCUAUUCCCUUAGGUAUUUUUACAAAAACCUUACAUGCACAUCUUAGGCAUAGAUGGAUUCAUCAAGAUUUCAAACAUUCAACCACCAAUUUCAUAUGUUUAUACGUUAAAUACCACCAUAUCCUUACAUAAAACAUACAAAGAUCCCAUCUUAGGCAUCAUCAAACUCCAACCACAUGAACAUCAACCACCAACAACAUAAACAUCAUAAUACAUAAUUUAGAAGAUGGUUCUUGNNNNNNNNNNNNNNNNNNNNNNNNNNNNNNNNNNNNNNNNNNNNNNNNNNNNNNNNNNNNNNNNNNNNNNNNNNNNNNNNNNNNNNNNNNNNNNNNNNNNNNNNNNNNNNNNNNNNNNNNNNNNNNNNNNNNNNNNNNNNNNNNNNNNNNNNNNNNNNNNNNNNNNNNNNNNNNNNNNGAGGAAUUUCCUUGAAAUCGGAUCUUCAAGCUUAGUUACGUAACCCUAGUUGUUUUUCUCUUUUAUUCUCUUGGAUGAUGAUGUUUGAGAUGAUAAUAGGGUUGUAAUAUGUUUAGAAGCUAUAUAUUUUGUAGGGUUAAGUUUAGGGACAUGUAAGGAGUGUUAAAAGACUUAAUUACCCUUAAAAUAACUCAAAACAAAGUGUUUUUGGCACCUGGAUUUGAAUUAGGCGGCGCCCAAGUGAUUGCCUAAGCUAGGUGUGGCGGCGCCUAACCAAUCGCCUAUGUUUGGUUAGGCGGCGCCUAACCAAUCGCCUAUCCUUACUGUCUCUCACGAAAAUGGGCAUAGCUUUUUGCUCGGGUAUUGGAUUAAGGCAAAAUUGGUAUCGUUGGAAAGCUAAUUCAUUUCUCUACAAUUUAGGGGGUCUAAAUCAGCCAAAAUACCACAUUAACAUCGAGUUAUACUCGUUCAAUAAUGACCCUUGCAAAAUCAAACACUAAAACUUGAUGGAUUCAAAAACUCUUAGCUUGUAUUACCUUAAGUGACUCAUAUAAACAUGCUUAAUGCAUCAUAAGUUAUCCUAUCACUAGGAUAUUUAUUGUAAGUCAUGUACUCAAAUAUGAAUCACAGGAUAGGAGAUUUCAUACGUAGGAAUACUUAUUCACUUCCUAUCUUAGAAACAUGUGGGGUAUUACAAUAUUUCCCCCUUGGGAACAUUCAUCCUCGAAUGAGAAUUAACUGAGGUGGGAGAGAUGAUAAGAUGAAGUACAUACAAGACAUACACUACUGAAACAUGGAUUCAUGACUGACAUGACUAAAAGCGGAGCACAAUAUACUGAACAUGCAUAUCUGAUGCAUGGGAAGCUGAUUAAUGAAUAUAAGACUGAGGACUCUAAUAAAGUGAGUUUUCUCAAAAUGAGAAUGCAUUUCUGAUGCACAACUGAAAUACUGAAUCCAUGCAUAUAUGAUGCAUGAUUACAUGACUGACAUAAUAUGUAAAUGUAUUAGUGAAGUUACUGAUAAAUAGUACUUUCUCUACUGAACAGGUAUAUCUAAUGCCUGAAUAUCUGACUGGGCUGACUCUUGAAAUCUUGACUGAUUAUGCCAUGGCACUUGAUAACUAAUUUAUAACGAGAACAUGAAAGCAUCCAGAAAUGGGUGGGGUAUCUCCCCCUUGGGACACUAUGUCCCUCUAGGAAUGUUUACCUUGCUGAGAUACUGGGGUGAUGCACAGGGCAUCUACGAACUAGAUCAUAACUAAACAUUGGAGAGCUGAGACUAAUGCAUGAUGCAUGAACUGAACUAGACCUGCUAUUGUUACUGACUAAUUCAUGUGGAAACAUAAGCUCAAAUGAGUGCAAGAUAUCUAACAAUACAUACAAUAAUCAUGAAAACUUGUAACGUACCCGAAUCUAGGUUGGGGAAACUUUCUGGAUCAUGGUGAGUUUGGAGUGAAUAGAGUCGAUUCUAACGCUGACCACUAUAGGUACUGGGAUUUUUGGCCCGCUCAUGUGAAUCUCUACCUUUCUGAGCUAACACUCUACACUCCCGCACUCUGUGGCCUGACUUACCGCACCCAAAACAUACCUGACUAUUAGCUCUACAUACACCUAGAUGAUUCUUGCCACACUCUCUACAAAGCGGAUAAGUGCGCUCACUUCUAACAUUACUCUGGGCUUUGGAGCCUGGAGCCCCACCAUGACUAACAUAUCCAAAGUUAGGUGUGGGCACACUAGCUGAAGAUGGAACAGGGGCUGAAUUUUUCUGACUAUGGUGAGAACAAUUACCACCCUGUGACCCAGCCAGAGAAAAGCUGUAACUACCUGCUCUGAAUCUCUUAUUAGAUCUCUCCCUCUCCUUAGACUUAUCUGCGUAUAUCUACUGAGAAUACAUCAUUAAUCUAGCAAGAUCUAUCUCCUUAUUGAGCAUAGCUGUUCUACCCUCUUUCAAUACCAACCCGGACACACCAGUCACAAACUUACUCAUACUCACUCUAGGGUCAGCUAUCAAGUUAGGAGCAUACUUAGAUUACUGGUUGAACUUAAGACAAUACUCCUUUACUGUCAUGGAGCCUUGUCUCAGGUUCAUAAACUUUUCUACCUUAGCUUCUCUUAUCUCUAAUGGGAAAAACUUAUCUAAGAAGGCAUCUUGAAAUAUCUUCCAAGUCAUGGGAGUUACAUCUUCCCCUCUACUCUUCUUCCACAACACUACCCAAUCAUGAGCAAUAUCUUUCAGCCUAUAGGACGCUAAUUCCACACCCCUCUCCUCUGACACAUGCAUGAUUUGGGUGAUCUUCUUUACCUCUUCUAGAUACAGCUGUGGGUCCUCACCAGUUACUGACCCAAAGAAUUUUGGAGGGUUCAUUAUCAUAAAAUUUCUGAUUCUGGCUGCAGCUAAAUCCUCAUCUUGCUGGGGUGGGGCUGCAGUUUGUCGGUUUCCCUGAACAUUAGUGGUUACAGCCUAGGUUAGCGCCUGAAAAGCUGCCCGAAAUUCUACAUGUGACACAUUCUCAUUCAAAGGAUCUGCGGGCUGCGGAGCUGACUGAUUCCCUCUUCUCUUCUUAGGAGGCAUGUUCUGCAAACGGAAGAGGAACAAGGAUUAAACUGAGAUUUCAACUUGAGCUUUUGCUCACUAGCAUGAUAUGAGUACUGAAAGAAGGGAAACUAUUCCUAAAACAUCUUAUAGCCUCCUAUACAUAAAUGUGGCGCGCAAUACACCCAUGUACAAUACUCUACUAGAUGCGGCUUUCAGACUUCCUAGGACUCUAUUGAACCUUAGUCUCUGAUACCAAGUUUGUAACACCUCAAUUUUCUGAACCGAAAUGCUACACGGUGCUCACGACCCCGAAGGACCACAAGAUAACCCAUGACUGAUAUUUGUACCUAUAACUGCAUAAUAUUCAUAUAAAAUGCGGAAACAUAAACACAGAGGGCGUAAGGUUCAAUCUUGAAUAAUAAGAUAUCUAAAAUAAGGUGGUAUCACAGUACCAAAACAAAACUAAAAAUACUAAAGUCUAAAUCUGAAAACUCUAUAAUCAUCUGAAAGCCUCUAAACUGUUUGAAUAAAGAGUUGAAGGAAGAUGUCUCCAACUAACUCCCUAAACUGAAAAUAAACUGAAAUAUUGGAAUAAUAAAUGUAACGAUCAUAUCCUUGAAAGAUAAGGACUCACUGCUUACUGAACUGCUACUGCUGAUCUAGAAUCUGCACCUAAGAACCUAUGGUGUAACAUAAAAACAAAAGCACCAUAGCACAAAUGCGUCAGUACAACUAAAGUACUGAGUAUACGUGGCGGUAGGCUAAAUGCAUGGGGUUUAUAUGCAUGAACAUUCUGACUAAUAUGAACGUGAGAAUACAUACAUACAUACAUACAUACGCAACUGCUACAGAACUCGUAGAGAUACUGACUACUUGAGUUUGAACUUUGACAACAUGAGUUUUGUGAUACUGAGAUACUGAAUGACUGAUGAUAUGCAUGACUGUAUCUAACAGUCCUAAUUUAGGGGAAAACUAUCUGAGUUCCAAACUAUAUCUGAACAUCUAAGUCUGACAUCAGUCCUAGCUGACGAGUGAUCUCUGAAACUGAUAGUGAGAAUACUCAACUGAAUCUGAGAUUGAGAUCAAGCCUUUCUACCGGGUGACCUCUAAAUAUAAUAAUAAGCAUCUGAAUAUGGGACCAAGCCUAUCUGACGGGAUGGUCCAGGAAUCAUUGGAACUAUCUGAGUUCCUUACUGAGAUUGAUGACUGUAUUUGACAGUCCUGAUUUCUAAUUUCUACUCUGAAGACUGAUACUAAAAUUGUAACUGUACUGUGACUGUGGGAGGUAGUAACCUAACCGACAUGCCCCGUUACUGUACUGGUGGGGUCCAAUCUUUGCCCUGAUUGGAAGGGUAUCAAUACCAUGCCAUGGGUAGAGACUUCUGCUAUGGUCAAGCCUCUCUAACGGGUGACCCUGAAUAGGAAAUCAAGCCUAAGGUAAUAUAAUAGUCAAGUUUAGCCUUAAUCUGAUGAGUGACUCCUGUCCUGCGCUGGCUAUGUAGUUCUGGAGUACAGGGAUUGCUGCUAAUGGUUCUACCUCUCUAAUGAGGAAACCGCCAUCCCCAUACUUUCUCAGUGCUAGUUCCAACUCCCAAUUGAAAGACACCAAACAGAUUAACUGAGCUGAGCUGACAAACUAAACUGAAUUGAUUCUGAGUUUACUGAGUUCCUUGGACUAACGAAACACUACUAACAUCUGAUAUCUAACUAAGUCAUGAGAUUCCAAAUCUUACUGAGUACUGAAUUUUCAUGAGAUUUCUGAGUUUUUCCUGAGUCACAUGACUAACUGCAAUCUAUGGAACAUAGCUUGAAACAUGACACUAACUCUAGGCACACAACUAUAGUUUUCGGGUACAAGUACCCUUAGGACUCGAUGAAAGGAAACUGACACACAUGACUGACUUGAUUACAAAAGUAGAGUCAAUAAUUCACAAUAUCAUAAGUAAGGAUUUCAUAAUAAGAAUGAUUCUCAACAAACUAUCACAUGAUCGGAAAUGCACACAACAUGUAUAUACUUGCACGGCUUCAAUAUCAUGGUCAUUCCAUAUCACAAAAAAAUCAUGAGCAUCUCAUACAACAUCUUCAAUUCAAGAAAAUAGUAUGGGGAUCACAUUGAACAUAAACUUAGAACAUGGAAUAGUCAUUUAGGGCUUAUUAUGUCAUAAAAGCAUGAUUUCUAUUCCCUUAAGUGCACAUCUUAGGCAUAGGUGGAUUCAUCAAUAUUUCAAAUAUUCAAUCACCAAUUUCAUAUGUUUAUACAUUAAAUACCACCAUAUCCUCACAUAAAACAUACAAAGAUCCCAUCUUAGGCAUCAUCAAACUCCAACCACAUGAACAUCAACCACCAACAACAUAAACAUCAUAAUACAUAAUUUAGAAGAUGGUUCUUGAUCUUCAUGGACUAAAGGAGUCCAUGAAUCAACUCAAGCAUACCUUAGAAGGAAUAUUCUUGAUGAUUGACAGAGGAAUUUCCUUAAAAUUGGAUCUUCAAGCUUAGUUAUGUAACCCCAGUUGUUUUUCUCUUUUAGUGCUCUUGGAUGAUGAGAUUUGAGAUGAUAAUAGGGUUGUAAUAUGUUUAGAAGCUAUAUAUUUCGUAGGGUUAAGUUUAGGGACGUGUAAGGAGUGUUAAAAGACUUAAUGACCUUUAAAAUAACUCAAAAUGAAGUGUUUUUGGCACCUGGAACUGACUUAGGCAGCGCCCAAGUGAUUGCCUAAGCUAGGUUGGGCGGCGCCUAACCAAUCGCCUAUCCUUACUGUCUCUAACAAAAAUGGGCAUAACUUUUAGCUCGGGUAUUGGAUUAAGGCAAAAUUGGUAUCGUUGGAAAGCUAAUUCGAUUCUCUACAAUUUGGUGGGUCUAAAUCAGACAAAAUACCACAUUAACAUCGAGUUAUACUCGUUCAAAGAUGACCCUUGGAAAAUCAAACACUAAAACUUGAUGGAUUCAAAAACUCUUAGCUUGUAUUACCUUAAGUGACUCAUAUGAACAUGCUUAAUGUAUCAUAAGUUAUCCUAUCACUAGGAUAUUCAUUGUAAGUCAUGUACUCAAAUAUGAAUCACAGGAUAGGAUAUUUCAUACGUAGGAAUACGUAUUCACUUCCUAGCUUAGAAACAUGCGGGGUAUUACAAAGUGUAGGAAGGACUCACUCUUAAAUCUAAAAUCUGAAAUCUAAUAUCUUUCUGUAAAGCGUAAUCUGAUUAAAACCUGUGAGCCUUCACACUUAGUUUUAUAAAAGCUUUUAUAUCAUUCUUUUCUUUUAGAACUUUAAGACUGAGGAGCUUUGUAAACUUUUGAAACUUGAGACUUAGGGACUUUGAAACUUAGAACUUUGGGAAUCUUAAAACCAUAGUGUAAGACCCCACAAAAUCAUAAGUAUAAUUCAGCUCAUUUGUGUUUGUUAAAGGAGCCCCAUACUUAGAAAAUUCUAGCUAAGUUCCAGACUUAGCCUAUUUCUGGCAUUCAAGAGUUCGCAAUAUCAUUUCGCGACCUCAAAGUUCUUUAAUGGUCUAUAUCUUUAGUAAUUCAUGAUCAGGAAGGUCAGUAAGUGUUCCCGAACAAGUUUUAGAAUUUUUGGGAUUCGUUUAAGCCAAGUUCAAAGUUGCAAAAAAGUGGAUCAACGCGAUCUUGGCACGCCGUGUCGCCUAUCGCAUUGGUCAACAUUUGUGCAGAGUUGUAGAGCCAAAAGUACUGAGGCUUGGCGCGAUCAAGGCGCGACGCGUCGACCAUCGCGUCAAUGGGUCAACAUACCGCAUCAGCUUUAGCGUCGAUACCCAGUUUUCAGUCAUUAUAUAUCCACAUUCCUAAGGCAAAGGGGUCAUUUUCCCACCCCUAUAUAAGUCCCAAACACGGGAUUUAACACAUUUGGAACCAAAAUACACCCCUAUUUCUCAAAAUCCUCUCAAGAAUAAGCUAGGGUUUCUCAAAAGAAGAUUCAAGUUCAAGAAUUCUCUCUGUCAAUCUUCACGAACUAAGGUAUAUACAAUGUUCAUUCAGGAUUCCUUUCAUCCAUGAAGCCCAAGAACCCUCUUUUAAAUUACAUAUCAUGAUAUUUAUGUGGUGAAUUGGUGAUGUUCAUGUUGUUAUGGUUGUAUUCCUACCAAGAUUGAAUUUUUAUCAUGUAUUUCAUAAAACCAUGUUAGUUUAGGGUUGAAAUCCAUGCAAUGAAGUUAAAUGGUGGAAUCCUAUUUUAUUUAAUUGAUGAUCAUACCUAUGCCUAAAGGCAGCAUGCAAGGUGUUUGAUAAAAUGCCUAGUAUAAUAGAAAUCAUGUAUAAUGACUCAAUUGUGUUUAAAUGCUAAAUGCAUACAAUUUAUUCAGGCUUAACAUGACUUACAUAUUAUUGAUUAUACAUCAUGCUUGCUUUAUGAAAUGUUCAUGACACUAGAAGUAUGUAAGCAAGCCAUGAUUAUGUGCUCCCUUAUCCAUGUAUUAGAUUAAGGUAAUCAAAUGCGUCAUGAAAUACUCCCCACGAUUGUAUGAUGAAUGUGGGUGUUCAAAAGUGUCAAGUUGUGUCAAUUUUAUUCUAUCGAGUCUUAGGGGUACUUGUGCCCGAAAAAUAUAGUUGUGUUCCUAGAGCCAUAUCAUAUUUCAUGAUACUCUCAGUCAAGCCAUGUUCAGUAGACUUCAGUCAGUCUCACGACUCAGGAAACCUCAGUAAUCUCAUGAACUCAGUCAGUUAAUAGAAUUCAGUAGUAUUCUGUCAGUCAAUGGAAUCAAGUAAACUCAGUAGCUCAGUUUAGUUAAUCAUGUUCAGUGUCUAUUCAAUGGGAGUAGGAAUUAGCACCGAGUGAACCAAAGGAUGGGAACACACACUGUCAGAUAAGGGUGUGAUUUCUAGAAGCAAUCCGUACAUUCCAGAACUAUGUAGCCAACAUAGUUUGAGACAUCAACACUGUCAAAUGAGGGUUGAUGAGGUAGAUUAACACUGUCAGAUGAGGGUCCCACCAUUCUCGUUUGGGGACACUGUCAGAUGAGAGUCACUCAUAACUUGUCCUUACCAGUGGCACGGUAUUGACACCCUUCUAAUUGGGGUUAUAGAUUGGACCCCAACUUAGCUAUACUAGCUUAUCAUGGGCAUAUCAGUUAGAUGACUACUUCCUACAGUAUCAGUCUCAGUAUCAGUAAAAGAACUCAAAUAGUUCUUCAGAUUCAAGACGGUCAGAUACAGUCAACUCAAAACAGUAUGGAACUCAGCUAGUUCCAUUAGAACUUAGACUAUCAGAUACAGUCGCCUAAUAACAGUAUUUAGUUAUAUCAAUUAUAUUAGUUCUAUCAGUUAUCAGUAUCUCAUGCUAUCAGUAAUCAGACUCAGUAAUCAUGUUUUCACGAACUCAGUUAGUCUCUUAAUCAUGCAUGUAUUCUCACGCUCAUGUUAUACGGUCAUUUAGUUUAUGUCCAUACAUAUAAACCCUUGCAUUCAGCCUACCUUACUUGCAUACCAGUACAUUCAGUUGUACUGAUGCAUUCGCGCUAUGGUAUUUUACUACCAUAGGUCCAGAGACACGAGCUACAGAGCAGCAGUAGGACUUUAGAUAUUUAGUAGACAGACUAGUAGUGAGUCCUCAUCACUCAAGGAUGCAUUAUCAUUUUAGCUUUCAGUACUGUUUUCAGUUUUAGUAGCGGAGUUAGUUGGGGACAUGUCCCAUCGACUCCUUAUUUAGAUAGUUAAGUUUUAGAGGCUUUUCAAACUACAGUACUAUGUUAUAUUCAGACGGUAUGUUAGUUUUGGGUAUUCUAUUACCCCACUCAGAUGUUUUAUUUUUCAGUUAUACAGUUUUGAACCUUAUAGCCUUUCAGCCUUUAUUUCUGCAUUUUAUACAGUAUAGCAUGUAGUGUACAGGUACAGAUAUCAGUCAUGGGUUAGCUUGUGGUCCUUUAGUGUCAUGAGCACUAUGUAGCAUUUCGGGUACCAAAUUCAGGGUGUCACAAACUUGGUAUCAGAGCCUAAGGUUCAAUAGUGUCCUAGGAAGUUUGAAAGCCGCAUCUAGUAGAGUCUUGUACAUGGGUGUGUUGCGUGCCAUAUUUAUGUACAGGAGGCUAUAAGAUGUUUCAAGAAUAGUUUCCCCUCUUUCAGUAUUCAUGUCAUGCCGGUGAGCAUAAGCUUAAGCUUAACUCUCAGUCUAAUCCAUUUCUCCCUUUUUUUACAGAGCAUGCCUCCUAAAAGAAGAGAUGGGAAUUAGUCAGCCCCUCAGCCCAAAGAACCUUUGGGCGAACAUAUUUCUCAUGCAGAAUUUAAAGCUGCAUUCACUACUCUUACUUAGUCAGUUGCUGCUCAGAAUGAAUGACCAGCUAUCGUUUUGGCCAACCCAGUGGCCAAUUCAGCUGCAGCUAGGAUUCAGGACUUCACCCGAAUGAAUCCUCCAUUCUUUUUUGGGUCUAAGACAGACGAGGACCCUCAAGAAUUCCUAGAUCAGGUGAAGAAUGUUACAAAAAUUAUGGAAGUUACUGCUAGUGAGAGUGUUGAUCUAUCUGCAUAUCAGUUGCAGGAUGUGGCUCAUACUUGGAACAAGUAGUGAAAGUAAGAGAAGGCAGUUGAUACAGGGCCUAUAUAUUGGGAGGAGUUUGCCUUUGCUUUUCUUGAUAGAUUCUUUCCACUAGAGCUUAGAGAAGCUAAGGUUCUAGAAUUUAUCAAUCUUAGGUAAGGAAACAUAACAGUGAAAGAGUAUUCUCUUAAGUUUACUCAACUAGUUAGAUAUGCUCCUCAUGUGGUUGUAGAUAGUAGGACCAAGAUGAGUAAGUUUUUUUUAGGGGUGAAUGAUAACAUGGUGAAUGAGUGCAGGUCAACUAUGUUGAAUAGUGACAUGAACAUAGCUAGACUCAUGACCCAUGCUCAUCAGAUAGAAGAGCAAAAGAUUAAGAUGAGGGAGAAGCAGAAUAAGAAUACAAGGUCAGGUAGUUUCAACUUUGCUUAGCCUAAGUUAGAGAGAUGGAAUCACUCAUAGUUCUGUCCUACAUCAUCAGUUCCAUCUCUUUUUUUAGCCAGUGCUCCAGUUCUUAAGUUCAGGGAUGGUAAUAGAGAUAGGGCACCAGGAUCUAAGUCUCAGGGCAGUGUUAGUAGUGCCCGAACCAAUCCCCUUUGUCAGACUUGUGGUAAGAACCACAAGGGUGUUUGCAGAGCUGGUAGCGAUAUCGGUUUUGGAUAUGGCAAGCCAGGCCACAGAGUUAGAGAUUUUCCCCAGUCAGGUUAUCAAGGUCAGCAGAACCGUUCCUCAAUCCAGUCCGGUCGCCCAAACCAGCAAGGUGCUACCUCCAGUGCUACUAAUGGACAGCGCCCAAAUCGACUUUAUGCUCUCAAGUCCCGACAAGAUCUGAAAAAUUCUCCUAAUGUGGUUACUAGUGCGUUAUAGAUCUUUCACUUGCCUUUUUAUGCUUUACUAGAUCCAGGAGCUUUCUUGUUUUUUGUUACUCCCUGUAUAGCAGUUGAUUUCGAAGUCAUUUCCGAAAUUCUAGCAAAGCCCUUCUCAGUCUCUACCCCAGUGGGUAAAACCAUCAUAGCUUGGUGGGUAUACAGGAGCUGCCUGAUUAUGAUAUCUCAAAAAGUCACUUCAGCAGAUUUAGUCGAAUUAGAGAUAACUGAUUUUGAUUUCAUUCUCGACAUGGAUUGGCUUCAUUCCUUCUAUACCACAGUCGACUGCAGAAGCAGAAUAGUUCAGUUCUAGUUUUCGAAUGAACCCAUCCUAGAGUGGAAGGGUAGUGUAUCCGGUUUUAGAGGUCAUCUCAGUUCCUACCUUCGGGCAAGGAGAAUGAUACCUAAGGAAUGUGUCUAUCAUCUCGUUCAUGUUAAGGACUAUAGUUUUGAAAUUCCCACCCUUGAAUCAGUCCUAUUCAUAAAUGAAUAUCCAGUUGUCUUUUCCAAAGAUCUUCCAGGCAUUUUUCUUAAAACAGAAAUAGACUUUGGCAUUGAUCUUCUUCCGGAUACACAGCCUAUAUCUAUCCCGCUAUACAGGAUGGAACCCGCAGAACUUAGAGAAUCGAAAGAGCAGUUAAAGGAUCCUUUAGAUAAGGGAUUCAUCAGACCCAACGUGUCCCCGUAGGGUACACCACUCUUAUUCAUGCACAAGAAAUAUGGUUCUCUCAGAAUGUAUAUAGACUACCAUUAACUCAAUAAAGUCACGGUCAAGAACAAGUAUCCACUUUCCAGAAUCGAUGACUUAUUUGACCAACUUCAGGGUGCUAGUUAUUUCUAUAAGAUAGACCUCAAAUCAAGCUAUCAUCAGCUAAGAGUCAGAGAAAGUGACAUCCUAAAAAUAGUUUUUUCGUACUCGAUAUGGUCACUUCGAAUUUUAAGUCAUGUCCUUUGGUUUUACCAAUGGCCCUGCAUCUUUCAUGGACUUGAUGAACCGUGUGUUCAAGAAGUACUUGGACAUGUUCGUCAUAGUCUUCAUAGAUGAUAUUUUGGUCUAUUCCCAGACUGAGCAUGAUCAUGCAGACCAUCUCAGAACAGUACUUCAGACUCUCAGAAAUCACCAGUUAUUUGCCAAAUUCAGUAAGUGCGAGUUUUGGCUAAGUUCAGUAGCAUUCCUUGGUCACAUCAUUUCCGGUGAUGGUAUUAGAGUAGAUCCUCAAAAGACCAAAGCAAUAAGAGUUACCUUGAACUCGUAAUUAGCAUGAUUCAGUUUGGGUCAUUGUAGACAAAAGGACCAAAUAAGUUCAUUUUCUUCCAGUCCAUACCUCUUAUUCAGCCAAGGAUUACACCAAACUCUAAAUCAGGGAGUUGGUUAGAUUGCACGGUAUUCCGUUAUCUAUUAUCUCAGACCGAGGUACCUAGUUCACCUCUCACUUUUGGAAAGCAUUCCAAAAGGGUCUUGGUACCCAAUUUCAUCUCAGUACAGCCUUUCAUUCCCAGAUUAAUGGUCAAGCAGAAAGGACCAUCUAAACCUUCGAAGAUAUGCUAUGAGCGUGUACAAUUGAUUUCAAGGGAAGUUGGAAUGACCACUUACCUUUGAUUGAGUUUGCAUCCAACAACAACUAUCAUUCCAAUAUUCAGAUGGCUCCAUUCGAAGCUCUCUAUGGUAGGAUAUGCAGAUCUCCAAUCGGUUAGUUCAAAAUUAGUGAGGCCUCAACCAUAGGUCCUGUCUUAGUAUUCGAUACGCUAGAUAAAGUUCAGUUGAUCAGAGAGAGACUUUGGGCUGCUCAGAGCCGACAGAAGUCCUAUGCAGAUGUGCGCAGAAAGGAUCUCGAGUUUGAGAUUGGUGAUUUUGUCUAUCUCAAGAUCUCUCCCAUGAAGGGAGUGAAGUGAUUCAGUAAGAAGGGAAAGCUCAAUCCCCGAUACGUCAGUCCCUUCAAGACUCUCAGUCGCUUCGACAAAGUAGCUUAUGAGCUCGAGUUACCAUCAGAUCUAGCUUCAGUCUAUCUAGUCUUCUAUGUUUCUCUUCUCAUGAAGUGCAUAGGUGACCUAUUAGUCGUAGUCCCUAUUCAGAGCAUUGAUGUUCAGAACAACCUCUCUUAUGAAGAGAUUCCAGUCAAAAUUCUUGACUACCAGACUUGUAGACUGAGGAACAAAAAGUUUCUAUAGUUAAAGUUCUUUGGCAGAACUAGUCCGUUGAGGGAGUUACUUAGGAAGCAAAAUCAGAUAUGCGUACCAAUUAUUCUCACCUCUUCUUCGCUAACUCAGACUCAGCUCAAGGUAAUAGCUUUUUCUUAAGCUUUUCAGUUUCAUGAUCAGAUUUUAGUUACUGCUUAGAAUCUAUUUCAUGUUUAGAAUUCCAUUAUAAACUUGCUACUAAGUACCAUUGAAUUUUCAGUCAUGCAUUCAUGUAUAAGAUCAAGUCAUUAGUCAUGCAUCAGAUAUGCAUAGAUUCAGUUUAUUAGUUAUCCAUGAAUCAGAUAUGCAUGUUCAGUAUGAUAUAUUCAGCUCUUCAGUCAUGUUAGUCCUGAAGUCAUGUUUCAGUAGUGUAUGUCUUGCACAUACUUCAACUUAUCUUUUCCUCUCUUAGUCAGUCUCAUUCGAGGACGAACGUUCUCAAGGGGGAGAUAUUAUAAAACCCCAUAAAAUCCUAAGCAUAAUUCAGCCCAUUUGUGCUUGUUAAGGGGAUCCCAUACUUAAAAAAUUCUAACUAAGUUCCAAACUUAGCCUACUUUUGGCCUUCAAGAGUUCGCAAUCUCAUUUUGUGACCUCAAAUUCCUUUAAUGGUCUAUAUCUUUAGUAUUUCAUGAUCAGGAAGGUCAAUAAGUAUUUCCGAACAAGUUUCAGAAUUUUUGGAACUCGUUUAAGUCAAGUUCAGAGUUGCAAAAUAGUGGAUCAACGCGAUCUUGGUGCGCCACAUCGCCUAUCGCAUUGGUCAACAUUUGUGCAGAGUUGUAGAGCCAAAAGUACUGAGGCUUGGCGCGAUCAAGGCGCGACGCGUCGACCAUCGCGUCAAUGGGUCAACAUGCCGCAUCAGCUUUAGCGUCGAUACCCAGUUUUCAGUCAUUAUAUAUCCACAUUCCUAAGGCAAAGGGCUCAUUUUCCCACCCCUAUAUAAGUCCCAAACACGGGAUUUAACACAUUUGGAACCAAAAUACACCCCUAUUUCUCAAAAUCCUCUCAAGAACAAAUUAGGGUUUCUCAUAAGAAGAUUUAAGUUAAAGAAUUAUCUCCGUCAAUCUUCACGAAAUCACGAACUAAGGUAUGCACAGUGUUCAUUCAUGGAUUCCUUUCAUCCAUGAAGCCCAAGAAUCCUCUUUUAAAUUACAUAUCAUGAUAUUUAUGUGGUGAAUUGAUGAUGUUCAUGUUGUUAUGGUUGUAUGCCUACCAAGAUUGAAUUUUUAUUAUGUCUUUCAUGAAACUAUGUUAGUUUAGGGUUGAAGUCCAUGCAAUAGAGUUAAAUUGUGGAAUCCUAUUGUAUUUAAUUGAUGAUCAUACCUAUGCCUAAAGGCAGCAUGCAAGGAGUUUGAUAAAAUGCCUAGUAUAAUAGAAAUCAUGUAUAAUGACUCAAUUGUGUUUAAUUGCUAAAUGCAUGCAAUUUAUUCAUGCUUAACAUGACUUAUAUAUUAUUGAUUAUACAUCAUACUUGCUGGAUGAAAUGUUCAUGACACUAGAAGUAUGUAAGCAAGCCAUGAUUAUGUGCUCCCUUAUCCAUGUAUUAGAUUAAGGUAACCAAUGCCUCAUGAAAUACUCCCCACAAUUGUAUGAUGAAUUAUGGACUCUAGUCACAUGUUCAAAAGUGUCAAGUUGUGUCAGUUUUAUUCUAUCGUGUCCUGGGUGUAGUUGUACCCGAAAAAUAUAGUUGUGUGCUUAGAGUCAUGUCAUGUUUCACGAUACUCUCUGUCAAUCCAUGUUCAUUAGACUUCAGUCAGUCACACGACUCAGAAAACCUUAGUAAUCUGAUGAACUUAGUCAGUUAAUAGAAUUCAGUAGUAUUUCAUCAGUCAACGGAAUCUAGUAAACUCAGUAGCUCAGUUUAGUUAAUCAUGUUCAGUGUCUAUUCAAAUGGGAGUAGGAAUUAGCACCGAGUGAACCCAAGGAUGGAAACACAUAUUGUCAGAUGAGGGUGUGAUUUCUAGAAGUAAUCCUUGCGCUCCAGAACUAUGUAGCCAGCAUAGGUUGAGACAUCAACACUGUUAGAUGGGGGUUGAUGAGGUGGAUUAACACUGUCAGAUGAGGGUCCCACCAUUCUCAUUUGGGGACACUAUCAGAUGAGGGUCACUCACAGCUUGUCCUUACCAGUGGCGCGGUAUUGACACCCUUCCAAUUGGGGUUACAGAUUGGACCCCAACUUACCUAUACUAGCUUAUCAGGGGCAUGUCGGUUAGAUUACUACUUCCCACAGCUUAAGUCUCAGUAUCAGUAAAAUAACUCAAAUAGUUCUUUAGAUUCAGGACUGUCAGAUACAAUCAACUCAGAAUAGUAUAGAACUCAGCUAGUUCUAUCAGCACUUAGACUGUCAGAUACAAUCGCCCAAUAACAGUAUUCAGUUAUAUCAGUUCUAUCAGUUAUCAGUAUCUUAUGCUAUUAGUAAUCAAACUCAGUAAUCAUGUUAUCACGAACUCAGUUACAGUCUCUUAAUCAUGCAUGUAUUCUCACGCUCAUGUUAUACGAUCAGUUAAUUUAUGUCUAUUCAUAUAAACCCUUACAUUCAUCCUACCUUACUUACAUACCAGUAUAUUCAGUCGUACUAACGCAUUUGUGAUAUGGUGUUUUACUACCAUAGGUCCAGAGACACGAGCUACAGAGCAGCAGUAGGACUUCAGAUAUUCAGCAGACAGACUAAUAGUGAGUCCUCAUCACUCGAGGAUGCAUUAUUAUUUUAGCUUUCAGUACUGUUUUAAGUUUUAGUAGCGAAGUUAGU
rnacentral:lncRNA from 1 species